rnacentral:rRNA from 1 species
UACGUAGGGUGCAAACGUUGUCCGGAAUUAUUGGGCGUAAAGCGCAUGUAGGUGGUUUUGUAAGUGAGCGAUUAAAGACCGAUGCUUAACAUCGGGACUGUUGCUCAUACUGCAUGACUAGAGUAUGGCAGGGGCAAGUGGAACUUUAGGUGUAGGAGUGAAAUCCGUAGAUAUCUAAAGGAACACCAAUGGCGAAGGCAGCUUGCUGGGCCACUACUGACACUGAGAUGCGAAAGCGUGGGGAGCGAACAGG